rnacentral:misc_RNA from 1 species
CUCCGGCAACCUCGUUUUCAUGGCGGUCCUUGGCGGUAGCGGAACUUUUGUCGGCCCGGCCAUCGGCGCGCUCGCCUUUGUGCUGUUGCAGGACUUCGUGAUGGCGAUCACGCAGUACUGGCGCUUUGUGAUGGGCGGCGUCNUCUGCUUGUUAUCUUCUUGCCACAAGGCUUGUCAGGUGCCGUCGAGAUGCUCGUCUCUCGCAAAGCAGGGGGCAGAUGAUGCAUCCGAUCAGUACAUCGCCGGAUGUCCGGGCGCCGCUAUU